rnacentral:rRNA from 1 species
GACGAACGCUGGCGGCGUGCUUAACACAUGCAAGUCGAACGGAAAGGCCCUGCUUUUGUGGGUUUCUCGAGAGGCGAACGGGUGAGUAACACGUGAGUAACCUGCCCUUGUCUGUGGGAUAACUUCAGGAAACUGGGGCUAAUACCGGAUAGGAGCUCCUGCUGCAUGGUGGGGGUUGGAAAGAUUCGGCGGUGGGGGAUGGACUCGCGGCGUAUCAGCUGGUUUGUGGGGUAGUGACUUACCAAGGCUGUGAUGGGUAGGCCACCUGUGAGGGGGGUCGGCCGCCCUGGAGGUUAGACGGGCUCCUUGGUCCUGCGGUACGGCCCAGUCUCCAACGGGCGGCAGUAGGCGGAAAUCUGGCGCAGUGGGCCGGCGCCUGAUGCGGCAACGCUGCGUGCGGGAUGCCGGCCUUCGGGUUGUAAACCGCUUUCGCCUGUGACGAAGAGUGAGUGACGGUAAUGGGUAAAGAAGCACCGGCUAACUACGUG